rnacentral:misc_RNA from 1 species
UACGGAGGGUGCGAGCGUUAAUCGGAAUUAUUGGGCGUAAAGCGCUCGCAGGCGGUCCUUUAAGUCUGAUGUGAAAUCUCGCGGCUCAACCGCGAAAGGUCAUUGGAAACUGGGAGGCUUGAGUAUAGGAGAGAAGAGUGGAAUUCCACGUGUAGCGGUGAAAUGCGUAGAGAUAUGGAGGAACACCAGUGGCGAAGGCGGCUCUCUGGUCUGCAACUGACGCUGAGGUGCGAAAGCGUGGGGAUCAAACAGG